rnacentral:misc_RNA from 1 species
AAGUCGUAACAAGGUUUCCGUAGGUGAACCUGCGGAAGGAUCAUUAACACGUGCAAACGUAUUAACCAAUCUACCUUCUACAACCCGUGAAUUUAACCCUCUACCUCAACAAUAGGAAUUGUUCAAUGCAAUAGUAGUAGGAUAGAGUAGUUUCGGCUACUCUAUGCAAUUGUAUUGAUACUAAGGCUUCGAGCCUACGAUCCCUAUUGUUAGGCUUUUAACCUUUUUUUCCCCUACUACAAGAAAACUAAACCAACCUAUUUCACCUUUUAAACCAAUCUUGACUGAUGUACGUUGAUAGUAGAGAAAUCUACUGGAUCAACACCAUUUAUCAUAACUAAGCACAACUCUUAGCAAUGGAUAUCUUGGUUCUC